CCUACGGGGGGCAGCAGUGAGGAAUAUUGGUCAAUGGGCGAGAGCCUGAACCAGCCAAGUCGCGUGAAGGAUGACGGCCCUACGGGUUGUAAACUUCUUUUGUCAGGGAGUAAAUGAGUCCACGUGUGGGCUUAGCGAGAGUACCUGAAGAAAAAGCAUGGGCUAACUCCGUGCAGGAGCCGGCGGUAAAAGGGGGGAUGGGACGGUUAUCGGGUUUUUUUGGGUUUAAAGGGUGGGAAGGCGGAAGAUAAGGCAGGCGGUAAAGAUUCGGGGCCAACCCCAGUCGUGCCGUUGAAACUGGUGGUCUGGAGUACAGGAGAGGUAGGCGGAAUGCGUGGUGUAGCGGUGAAAUGCAUAGAUAUCACGAAGAACUCCGAUUGCGAAGGCAGCAUACCGGCGCCCAACUGACGCUGAGGCUCGAAAGCGUGGGUAUCAAACAGGAUUAGAUACCCCGGUAGUC
rnacentral:rRNA from 1 species